rnacentral:rRNA from 1 species
AGAGUUUGAUCCUGGCUCAGGACGAACGCUGGCGGCGCGCCUAACACAUGCAAGUCGAACGAGAGAUGAGGAGCUUGCUCUUCAAAUCGAGUGGCGAACGGGUGAGUAACGCGUGAGGAACCUGCCUCAAAGAGGGGGACAACAGUUGGAAACGACUGCUAAUACCGCAUAAGCCCACGGCUCGGCAUCGAGCAGAGGGAAAAGGAGCAAUCCGCUUUGAGAUGGCCUCGCGUCCGAUUAGCUAGUUGGUGAGGUAACGGCCCACCAAGGCGACGAUCGGUAGCCGGACUGAGAGGUUGAACGGCCACAUUGGGACUGAGACACGGCCCAGACUCCUACGGGAGGCAGCAGUGGGGAAUAUUGCACAAUGGGGGAAACCCUGAUGCAGCGACGCCGCGUGGAGGAAGAAGGUCUUCGGAUUGUAAACUCCUGUUGUUGAGGAAGAUAAUGACGGUACUCAACAAGGAAGUGACGGCUAACUACGUGCCGGCAGCCGCGGUAAAACGUAGGUCACAAGCGUUGUCCGGAAUUACUGGGUGUAAAGGGAGCGCAGGCGGGAGAACAAGUUGGAAGUGAAAUCCAUGGGCUCAACCCAUGAACUGCUUUCAAAACUGUUUUUCUUGAGUAGUGCAGAGGUAGGCGGAAUUCCCGGUGUAGCGGUGGAAUGCGUAGAUAUCGGGAGGAACACCAGUGGCGAAGGCGGCCUACUGGGCACCAACUGACGCUGAGGCUCGAAAGUGUGGGUAGCAAACAGGAUUAGAUACCCUGGUAGUCCACACCGUAAACGAUGAUUACUAGGUGUUGGAGGAUUGACCCCUUCAGUGCCGCAGUUAACACAAUAAGUAAUCCACCUGGGGAGUACGACCGCAAGGUUGAAACUCAAAGGAAUUGACGGGGGCCCGCACAAGCAGUGGAGUAUGUGGUUUAAUUCGACGCAACGCGAAGAACCUUACCAAGUCUUGACAUCCCUUGACGAUGCUGGAAACAGUAUUUCUCUUCGGAGCAAGGAGACAGGUGGUGCAUGGUUGUCGUCAGCUCGUGUCGUGAGAUGUUGGGUUAAGUCCCGCAACGAGCGCAACCCUUAUGGUCAGUUACUACGCAAGAGGACUCUGGCCAGACUGCCGUUGACAAAACGGAGGAAGGUGGGGAUGACGUCAAAUCAUCAUGCCCUUUAUGACUUGGGCUACACACGUACUACAAUGGCGUUAAACAAAGAGAAGCAAGACCGCGAGGUGGAGCAAAACUCAGAAACAACGUCCCAGUUCGGACUGCAGGCUGCAACUCGCCUGCACGAAGUCGGAAUUGCUAGUAAUCGUGGAUCAGCAUGCCACGGUGAAUACGUUUCCGGGCCUUGCACACACCGCCCGUCA